AGGUUCUGUUCAUCCGCUCUGCCACUCCAUUUUGUUGUGAAGUAUAUGCCACCGUGAACUGUCGUUUGAUACCUUCUUUCUUGUAAAAGACAACA